GGGGUGCAGCAGGCGCGAAACCUCUGCAAUAGGCGAAAGCUUGACAGGGUUACUCUGAGUGAUGCCCGCUAAGGGUAUCUUUUGGCACCUCUAAAAAUGGUGCAGAAUAAGGGGUGGGCAAGCCUGGUGUCAGCCGCCGCGGUAAUACCAGCACCCCGAGUGGUCGGGACGAUUAUUGGGCCUAAAGCAUCCGUAGCCGGUUCUACAAGUCUUCCGUUAAAUCCAGCUGCUUAACAGUUGGGCUGCGGAGGAUACUAUAGAGCUAGGAGGCGGGAGAGGCAAGCGGUACUUAGUGGGUAGGGGUAAAAUCCGUUGAUCCACUGAAGACCACCAGUGGCGAAGGCGGCUUGCCAGAACGCGCUCGACGGUGAGGGAUGAAAGCUGGGGGAGCAAACCGGAUUAGAUACCCGGGUAGUCCCAGCUGUAAACGAUGCAGACUCGGUGAUGAAUAGGCUUCGUGCCUUUUCAGUGCCGCAGGGAAGCCGUUAAGUUCUGCCGCCUGGGGAAGUACGGUCGCAAGGACUGAAACUUAAAAGGAAAUUGGCGGGGAGCAC
rnacentral:rRNA from 1 species